UACGUAGGGCGCGAGCGUUAUCCGGAAUUAUUGGGCGUAAAGAGCUCGUAGGCGGUUUGUCGCGUCUGCUGUGAAAACUGGAGGCUCAACCUCCAGCCUGCAGUGGGUACGGGCAGACUAGAGUGCGGUAGGGGAGAUUGGAAUUCCUGGUGUAGCGGUGAAAUGCGCAGAUAUCAGGAGGAACACCGGUGGCGAAGGCGGGUCUCUGGGCCGAUACUGACGCUGAGGAGCGAAAGCGUGGGGAGCGAACAGG
rnacentral:rRNA from 1 species